rnacentral:rRNA from 1 species
ACGGAAGGCAGCAGUGGGGAAUAUUGGGCAAUGGGCGCAAGCCUGACCCAGCAACGCCGCGUGAAGGAAGAAGGCUUUCGGGUUGUAAACUUCUUUUAAGGGGGAAGAGCAGAAGACGGUACCCCUAGAAUAAGCCACGGCUAACUACGUGCCAGCAGCCGCGGUAAUACGUAGGUGGCAAGCGUUGUCCGGAUUUACUGGGUGUAAAGGGCGUGCAGCCGGGAAGGCAAGUCAGAUGUGAAAUCCACGGGCUUAACUCGUGAACUGCAUUUGAAACUGUUUUUCUUGAGUGUCGGAGGGGCAAUCGGAAUUCCUAGUGUAGCGGUGAAAUGCGUAGAUAUUAGGAGGAACACCAGUGGCGAAGGCGGAUUGCUGGACGAUAACUGACGGUGAGGCGCGAAAGUGUGGGGAGCAAACAGGAUUAGAUACCCUGGUA